GAUGAACGCUGGCGGCGUGCCUAACACAUGCAAGUCGAACGGAGAUUACGGACGGAGGUUUUCGGAUGGAAGCCUGUAAUUCUUAGUGGCGGACGGGUGAGUAACGCGUGGGCAACCUGCCCUAUACAGGGGGAUAGCAGCUGGAAACGGCUGGUAAGACCGCAUAAGUCGGUUAAAUCGCAUGAUUUGAUCGGGAAAUGAGCAAUCAGGUAUAGGAUGGGCCCGCGUCCGAUUAGCCAGUUGGCAGGGUAAAAGCCUACCAAAGCGACGAUCGGUAGCCGGACUGAGAGGUCGGCCGGCCACAUUGGGACUGAGACACGGCCCACACUCCUACGGGAAGCAGCAGUGGGGGAUAUUGCACAAUGGACGAAACUCUGAUGCAGCGACGCCGCGUGAGUGAAGAAGUAUUUCGGUAUGUAAAGCUCUAUCAGCAGGGAAGAUGAUGACGGUACCUGACUAAGAAGCCCCGGCUAACUACGUG
rnacentral:rRNA from 1 species